rnacentral:rRNA from 1 species
GACGAACGCUGGCGGCGUGCCUAAUACAUGCAAGUCGAACGCUGACGGAGGAGCUUGCUUCUCUGGAUGAGUUGCGAACGGGUGAGUGACGCGUAGGUAACCUGCUUGGUAGUGGGGGAUAACUAUUGGUAACGAUACCUAAUAUAGCAUCAUAGUAGAUGUAGCAUUACAUUUGCUUAAAAGUUGCACUUGCAUCACUACCAGAUGGCCCUGCGUUGUAUUAGCUAGUUGGUGAGGUAACGGCUCACCAAGGCCAAGAUACAUAACCGCCCUGAGAGGGAGGUCGACCACACUGGGACUUGGACACCGCCCAGGCUCCUACGGGAGGCAGCAGUAGGGGAUCUUCGGAAAAGGACGGAAGUCUGACCGAGCAACGCCGGGUGAGGGAAGAAGGGUUUCGGAUCGUAAAGCUCUGUUGUAAGAGAAGAACGAGUAGGAGAGUAGAAAGUUCACGCUGUGACGGUACCUAACCAGAAAGGGACGGCUAACUACGUG